rnacentral:lncRNA from 1 species
UCAAUAAAAAAUGUACCAUUCACCAUGACACACUACAAUACAUAUUACUAUUCGAUAUAUUUAAAUAAUGACAUAAAAACUAAUGAUUGUUUGUAGUCAUUAAAUAUGUCGUUCUUCUACUCUUUCAUACGUGACUCAACAUCAGACGCUGGUUAUAAGUUCUCCUAUUGUAUCCCUUUCCCCCGCUCCUUCUACACAUUGUCGGGUUCAAUGUCUCCAACUUUGUUCGUCCCCUCGUCUUCCUUGGCCUUCCCGCCCGCCUCUUAGAUUCAGGUGGAAAAAAUAUCAUCUUGACAAUGAUCAUUAUUGAAUUUCCACUGUGAAAGGUCUUCAAGUGGAACUAUGCACCCAACGUAAGUAUCAAUAGACACUUUAAUGUGUUAUCUGAAGCAAUAUUUAUAUGGUUACUAUCCUUUCUCGCCGAUUACAGCAAACACGUGUGGACACGAAACUCCAUCAAAUUGAAACCUGUUGCAUGUGUAUUUCAUUACCAGCAAGUCAACAAUAUACCAUGUGUUCUCGUCCGACACUUGUACAGGAAAUCGUUUGAAGAUGAGACCUAUGAAAAAUGCAAUUCAAUUUUUAGCAACAAUACGAUGACAAAGAUAAUGUUUCUCCUUGUGAAAUGUACAAAUAUACUAUUUUUGGUCAUGCCGGAAAAGACUAUCAACCUUUAUUGUUUCAACAUGUUAUUUCAAGCAUUAAAUCAAAUAGUUUAUGAGCAAAGCCUGAGAAGACUAUCAAAUGUCCAAAAACAUCGUUAUUUAUUUCUUAACGAAAAUGUUCAGAAAGAUUAUAUCUUUGCCGAAAAAAGAGUAAACAUACUUGUCACCGGCACGAGAGGAAUUGGAGGUACAAGAAGUAGCAAAUGCAAAAUGAUUUCAU